rnacentral:rRNA from 1 species
CACGUAGGGCGCAAGCGUUGUCCGGAAUUAUUGGGCGUAAAGGGCGCGUAGGCGGUUUGACAAGUCUGAUGUGAAAUCUCUGGGCUCAACCCAGAGUCUGCAUUAGAAACUGUCGGGCUUGAGUAUGGGAGAGGUGAGUGGAAUUUCCGGUGUAGCGGUGAAAUGCGUAGAUAUCGGAAGGAACACCUGUGGCGAAAGCGGCUCACUGGACCAUAACUGACGCUGAGGCGCGAAAGCUAGGGGAGCAAACAGG